GUCGGAAUCGCUAGUCAUCGUGGAUCAGAAUGCCACGGUUAAUACGUUCCCGGGCCUUGUACACACCGCCCGUCACACCAUGGGAGUGGGUUGCAAAAGAAGUAGGUAGCAUAACCUUCGGGAGGGCGCUUACCACUUUGUGAUUCAUGACUGGGGUGAAGUCUAAACAAGGUAACCGUAGGGGAACCUGCGGUUGGAUCACCUCCUUA
rnacentral:rRNA from 1 species